AUUGAACGCUGGCGGCAGGCCUAACACAUGCAAGUCGAACGAGUGGCGAACGGGUGAGUAAUGUCUGGGAAACUGCCUGAUGGGGGGGGAUAACUACUGGAAACGGUAGCUAAUACCGCCUACCAUCGUCUGUGCCCAACUGGGUUUAGCUAGUAGGUGGGGUAAAGGCUCACCUAGGCGACGAUCCCUAGCUGGUCUGAGAGGAUGACCAACCACAAGGAAACUGAGACACGGUCCAGACUCCUACGGGAGGCAGCAGUGGGGAAUAUUGCACAAUGGGCGCAAGCCUGAUGCAGCCAUGCCGCGUGUAUGAAGAAGGCCGUCGGGUUGUAAAGUACUUUCAGCGGGGAGGCGUUACCCGCAGAAGAAGCACCGGCUAACUCCGUGCCAGCCGCCGCGGUAAUUC
rnacentral:rRNA from 1 species